rnacentral:tRNA from 1 species
GCCCAAGUGGCGGAAUUGGUAGACGCGCUAGUUUCAGGUACUAGUGAGAGCAAUCUCGUGGAGGUUCAAGUCCUCUCUUGGGCA